GCAGCUCAGUGGUAGAGGGCCGGCCCUGCACACAGAAAGUCCCAGGUUCAAUCCCUGCCAUCUGCA